CUUAUCUUCCUCAUUUCUGUUUCCUGUUGAAGACACCAAGGGCCCUUCAAAACACACAACCUUCUUGCUCACGGCAUAAAGCCCAGUUCCAUCUGGCCCCUGCAGGUUGGCUCAGCACUGGGGAACCAGUGUCCCCUCCAUGACCAAGGCACCACUCCACUGACAGGUAUGGUAUCAAUUUGCCCUCUCUUCUUGCAUUCCCAAGCUAGGGCAGUGUCUAUGGCAGCCAAGGGUGGCUUGGAUCUGCCCAUUCCAUUUUCCUCAGAUCUUCCUCAGGGAUCAAUGUCAAAGGUGGGGGAAGAAGGUUUCCAUUGACUUUCCAUCCUGGAACUUCUAGUAGUGGGGAAAAGGGGAUAGGAUAUUUUCUAGCCAAUUAGUAUGUUUAGGAGAAAGUCACAUGGAAGUGGAAUGUUCUUUGGACCCAGGAGUCAGAAAACCGUAGUAGCAGUCCUGGUUUUACCAGUUACCCAGUGUGUAUCUUUGGGAAAGUCCUUUCUCCAAUCUAGGACUCAGCUUUUUCACCCCUUUUGUAAAAUAAAUAAAUAAAUAAAUAAAUAAAUGAAUAAGAAAAGAAUGAUUAGAUGAGUGCUGUAUAGAGACUUUUAGUUAUUAGAUUCCUUAUUUUUAUGAUUGUCAGCCCUCUGUCAAGAAAGAAGAUGUGAGUAAUCUUUGCAUAUGUAACUGUGGGUGGGGCUGAACACAUCCAAGAGGAGAGCUGGUGGUAAUCCAUAUAGCACUCUAUGAGAGGCAUGGCUCAAAGAUGAAAGCCUUUUCUCUAGUCCAAUUUUUGACUCCUAGAAGUUCAAAAUUGAAAGACUCUUAGAGACCAGGUACAUGUGGAAGAAGAAACUGAGGUCCAGAAAGAGGAAGAAAGGGACUUGCCCAAGGUCAUACAGAGAAUCUGUAGGAGAGCUGGGUCUGGAUUCCCAGGCCAGUCCUCUUUUUGCUCUGUCCUCAGAGGACAGAGACAUCAAGCAGCAGAACCUGUCCUAUAACUGACUCAGUUGGGCCUCCUCAUAGUAGAGGCAGUCUGGAUUUUUUAGGCAUGGUCCUGAGGACUUCUUUUCUUCUAUUCUUCUUUCAGAUACUUGGCUCACUCUAAGUGUUGAGAGAUUCCCAGACACCUACCCCUCCUACUUCUGGUUGGUUCCCUCCAAUUCCCUCCAUAAAAACUGACCCAUCCUUUGUGCCAAUAAUAGUGGCUUUGUGAAGCUCUUCAAUAGAAGAUUUUGCAUUUCGUAUGGGAGAAAAAUGAUGUUAUUCCAAAUAAUGUAACAGACAAAGAAAAGAGCUUCCAAAUUCCUUUAAUAUCAUCCCACAUAGACAUUUAUCUCUAUGGGUCUGGCCAACAUUUCUCAACUGAACCUGAUUUUCUUAUAUACACUCCAUUGGAGAGGCAUGGACUAGAACAGCAAGAGUGGAAAUGAAACCAGUCUAGUUUCAGCUCAGCCACUAACUUCUUCCAUCAAUAUUAGAGCAUUAUUGUCUACAAGUACCUCCAAAUUUUGAAGUACUAAGAAUUUUCAGCUCUUUUCAUGCCUUCUUUCCAGGCUUUCUGGGGGUGAAUAAAGUCAGAGAGGGCAUUCAAAAGGCUGUGAAUACCUGCAGCUUAUCUAGGCCUUCUUACUGGAGCUGGUAGCCAAUGAGGGUAAUGAUAUCAAAAAGGUAAAAAUACAUUUCUCUUUUGCCUGCCAUCCCCAACUCAAACUCUGUUAAUCAGCUUGCUUGGCUGGCCUCCAACCACAGGUCUAGGGAAUGAGCCAAGGUCCUUUUGGGCUCCGGUGUGGGAAUCUCUGGAAAGCUUAGCAACGCUUUCCAACAACUUCGCCAGGGUCACAUCUCCCAGGAAGAUCUCACCUUCCCACAGAAGCCCCUGGCCUGGCCUCCUGCAGUGCCACACUCCGUGUAUUUGACAAGCUGAGUUGGACACUCCGUGUGGUAGAGUGUCAGUUUGUCAAAUACCCCAAGUGCGACACAUGCUUAGCAGCUCCAGACCAGGGCAGAUGGGAUAUAACAGAUGAACUGCCAGCUGGAUACAAGGAUGCUCACCAAGCACCAAGUUCUCAUGAGUUAUUUUAUGUGACUUUGCAGGAACUGAUGCAUUAUAUCUGAGGACACCAGGGGAAAAGUGUGGCAUAUGUGGGCAAUACAGCCCUGGGCUUCGUCUACACACAUCAUGAGAGUGCUGAUGGGAGCACAAUAGUCUUGAAAAUGUAUAAAAGGUCCAGGAAUGGAAGUGCUCAUUGAUACAUUAUUAUUUUCUUCCUUCACAUUCUCCUCCCAGAGUCUCCCAUCUAGGACACCAGAAUUCUCACAUAAGCAUCAUAGCUUAUGUGAGAAAGCAGGGCUUAGAAAUUCACUUUCUUGAUGCUCAGUCUUGGCUUCUAAAUACUCCUUGACCUUGCCUACCUCUUCCCUUUUCCACGUCUUUUCGUCUAGGAAGACUUUCCCCAUUUAUUUCUGUCUAUUCAAAUCUUCCCCAUAUUUCCUGGCCUAGCCAAAGUCCAGUGUUUCCAGAGACUUUUAAAAAUCAACUUAUACUUUUUCCUUCUUCACUCACAAAGCACUUCUUGCCUGGGCCCUGGUAUGUGCCUCUUUCUCUCUUACUGUCUAACAGCACCUCUUGAAUUGUCAAUGAACUUUUCUAGGGGAGUAUUCUUGAAUUUUCAACUAGAUUGUGAGCUUCUAGAAGACAAGGCUAUGUGUCUUUGAUUGCUGUCUCCCCUACCACAGCCCAGUACUUUGGUUACAGAAAAAAAUAAACCUUUAUUGAUUGAUUGAC